rnacentral:hammerhead_ribozyme from 1 species
AUCCGGCUGAUGAGUCUCAAAUAGGACGAAUAGCGUGUCCUGGAU